GAAACAUGUGGAAGAUGGCGAGAAUAAAACUGAGGUGUUUACUAAUGGUCCAGAACUGAUAUCUCAGCAUUCUCUUCCUGGUCCAUAUAACUUCAACUGUGUGCUCAGCGAUGGGAAUAAUUUGAGCUGUAUCUGGGAUCUCAGAACAGAUCUGGCCCAGUAUAUCAGCUACACACUGUCCUACCGAACAUGCUCCACUGCACAGAACGAGUGGUGCUGUGUUGAGAAGGUGGAGGUCACAAAUAAAGGAGAUUCGUUGAGAAUGAUUGGUGUCUUCAGUAUCUUUGAGCCUGG